UGGUAUAGCUAUUACACAUAAAAAUCCCUUGUGGUUCAAAUCAUACCUAUCGGUACUCCAUGGUUUGAAAGAAAGUGCAUUUUCGAUGGAAAUCGUUGAAGGAAAUGCGAUUAUCAACCGUGCACUGAAAAGGAGCGUAGUUGCUUCGGAAAAUGGUUUUUUAACUCAAAGUUUGAGCUGAUAUACCUCUUGUGCCCUUGACAACUUAUUAAAACUUCAAGCCAAUCAGCUUCUUCAGCAUUUUGCAACAACCCAGCUUCUUUGACCGAAGAAUUGCUCAAGCUCUCGUGCCUCCUUAAGAUCGAGGAGGAAAAUCUGCAGGCUCGUGCCUCCUUUAAGUGCAAGUUUCAAAAGGUAAAACCUUUAACCAUUUGGAAUAUCAAUAAAUUCUUAUAAUGAACUUUAUAUUUUUCUUUGUGUAAACAGUGGAGGGAAUAAUUAAGAAACCGUACGAUGAUGUCUUCCUCAAGCUCUCGACCAGGCAGUGGGGGAAACGGAGCUAGAGAUCUUCGAUUUUUCAGCAAUCUUCACUUCCUUGUAUUUCCUGUCGCUGUCGGAGUUUGAUUGCUAUAACAAUCGGGAAUUUGGUUGAUAAUUGCCUCUCUCUCUCUCUCUCUCUCUCUCUCUCUCUCUCUCUCUCUCUCUCUCUCUUUUUAUCCAAUGGAAGACUUCAAGCUUUACAAGAGAGUAGGAGUAACAGUUGCAAUUUUCGAUACAAC
rnacentral:lncRNA from 1 species